GGUUAUGGCUCAGUGGUAGAGUGCUUGCCUAGCAUGCGUGAGGUGCUGGGUUCGAGUCUCAGCACCA
rnacentral:tRNA from 1 species